rnacentral:siRNA from 1 species
CAACGGACCCGCCAGUCAACAC